rnacentral:rRNA from 1 species
AUUGAACGCUGGCGGCAGGCCUAACACAUGCAAGUCGAACGGUAACAGGAAACAGCUUGCUGUUUCGCUGACGAGUGGCGGACGGGUGAGUAAUGUCUGGGAAACUGCCUGAUGGAGGGGGAUAACUACUGGAAACGGUAGCUAAUACCGCAUAACGUCGCAAGACCAAAGAGGGGGACCUUCGGGCCUCUUGCCAUCGGAUUUGCCCAGAUGGGAUUAGCUAGUAGGUGGGGUAACGGCUCACCUAGGCGACGAUCCGUAGCCGGUCUGAGAGGAUGACCGGCCACACUGGAACUGAGACACGGUCCAGACUCCUACGGGAGGCAGCAGUGGGGAAUAUUGCACAAUGGGCGCAAGCCUGAUGCAGCCAUGCCGCGUGUAUGAAGAAGGCCUUCGGGUUGUAAAGUACUUUCAGCGGGGAUGACGGGAGUAAAGUUAAUACCUGUGCUCAUUGACGUUACCCGCAGAAGAAGCACCGGCUAACUCCGUG